rnacentral:rRNA from 1 species
GACGAACGCUGGCGGCGUGCCUAAUACAUGCAAGUAGAACGCUGGAGGAGGAGCUUGCUUCUCUGGAUGAGUUGCGAACGGGUGAGUAACGCGUAGGUAACCUGCCUGGUAGCGGGGGAUAACUAUUGGAAACGAUAGCUAAUACCGCAUAAUAGCAGUUGUUGCAUGACAACUGUUUGAAAGGUGCAAUUGCACCACUACCAGAUGGACCUGCGUUGUAUUAGCUAGUUGGUGGGGUAACGGCUCACCAAGGCGACGAUACAUAGCCGACCUGAGAGGGUGAUCGGCCACACUGGGACUGAGACACGGCCCAGACUCCUACGGGAGGCAGCAGUAGGGAAUCUUCGGCAAUGGACGGAAGUCUGACCGAGCAACGCCGCGUGAGUGAAGAAGGUUUUCGGAUCGUAAAGCUCUGUUGUAAGAGAAGAACGAGUGUGAGAGUGGAAAGUUCACACUGUGACGGUAUCUUACCAGAAAGGGACGGCUAACUACGUG